rnacentral:rRNA from 1 species
UAAGGAAUAUUGGUCAAUGGACGCAAGUCUGAACCAGUCAUGCCGCGUGAAGGAUGAAGGUCCUCUGGAUUGUAAACUUCUUUUAUAGGGGACGAAAAAAGGGAAUUCUUUCUCGUCUGACGGUACCCCAGGAAUAAGCACCGGCUAACUCCGUGCCAGCAGCCGCGGUAAUACGGAGGGUGCAAGCGUUAUCCGGAUUCACUGGGUUUAAAGGGUGCGUAGGUGGGUUGGUAAGUCAGUGGUGAAAUCUCCGAGCUUAACUUGGAAACUGCCAUUGAUACUAUCAGUUUGGAAUAUGGUGGAGGACAGCGGAAUAUGUCAUGUAGCGGUGAAAUGCUUAGAUAUGACAUAGAACACCAAGUGCGAAGGCAGCUGGCUACACGAAUAUUGACACUGAGGCACGAAAGCGUGGGGAUCAAACA